rnacentral:rRNA from 1 species
UGGGGAAUUUUGGACAAUGGGCGCAAGCCUGAUCCAGCAAUGCCGCGUGCAGGAUGAAGGCCUUCGGGUUGUAAACUGCUUUUGUACGGAACGAAAAGCCUCUCUCUAAUACAGGGGGGUGAUGACGGUACCGUAAGAAUAAGCACCGGCUAACUACGUGCCAGCAGCCGCGGUAAUACGUAGGGUGCAAGCGUUAAUCGGAAUUACUGGGCGUAAAGCGUGCGCAGGCGGUUUUGUAAGACAGUGGUGAAAUCCCCGGGCUCAACCUGGGAACUGCCAUUGUGACUGCAAGGCUGGAGUGCGGCAGAGGGGGAUGGAAUUCCGCGUGUAGCAGUGAAAUGCGUAGAUAUGCGGAGGAACACCGAUGGCGAAGGCAAUCCCCUGGGCCUGCACUGACGCUCAUGCACGAAAGCGUGGGGAGCAAACAGGAUUAGAUACCCCUGGUAGUCCACGCCCUAAACGAUGUCAACUGGUUGUUGGGGAUUUAUUUCUUCAGUAACGAAGCUAACGCGUGAAGUUGACCGCCUGGGGGAGUACGGCC